rnacentral:rRNA from 1 species
AUUGAACGCUGGCGGAAUGCUUUACACAUGCAAGUCGAACGGUAGAGGGGCAACCCUUGAGAGUGGCGAACGGGUGAGUAAUAUAUCGGAACGUGCCCAGUCGUGGGGGAUAACGUAGCGAAAGUUACGCUAAUACCGCAUACGAUCUAUGGAUGAAAGCGGGGGACCGUAAGGCCUCGCGCGAUUGGAGCGGCCGAUGUCAGAUUAGGUAGUUGGUGGGGUAAAGGCUCACCAAGCCAACGAUCUGUAGCUGGUCUGAGAGGACGACCAGCCACACUGGAACUGAGACACGGUCCAGACUCCUACGGGAGGCAGCAGUGGGGAAUUUUCCGCAAUGGGCGAAAGCCUGACGGAGCAAUACCGCGUGAGGGAAGAAUGCCUAUGGGUUGUAAACCUCUUUUUUCAGGGAGGAAUAAAAUGACGUGUACCUGAAGAAUAAGCAUCGGCUAACUCCGUG